GACGAACGCUGGCGGCGUGCUUAACACAUGCAAGUCGAACGGUGAAGCUCCAGCUUGCUGGAGUGGAUCAGUGGCGAACGGGUGAGUAACACGUGAGCAACCUGCCCCUGACUCUGGAAUAAGCGCUGGAAACGGCGUCUAAUACUGGAUACGAGAAGGGUCCGCAUGGGCACUUUCUGGAAAGUUUUUCGGUUGGGGAUGGGCUCGCGGCCUAUCAGCUUGUUGGUGAGGUAAUGGCUCACCAAGGCGACGACGGGUAGCCGGCCUGAGAGGGCGACCGGCCCCACGGGGACGGAGACACGGCCCAGACCCCGACGGGGGGCAGCAGGGGGGAAUAUUGCCAAAGGGGCGAAGGCCGGAGGCAGGGACCCCGGGUGGGGGAGGACGGCCUUCGGGUUUAAAACCUUUUUCAGCAGGGAAGAAGCGAAAGGGACGGGACCUGCAGAAGAAGCACCGGCUAAAUACGG
rnacentral:rRNA from 1 species